CAAAUUCCACAAAUUGUCUUGUUUACGAAACCAUGGCAACAGCGUGUCUCAAACAAAUGGACGGAGAAAUACUGCUCUUAUAGUAUAGUUUCCUUGCAUAAAUACAUCGUCAUCAACGGCAUAUCCUGUCAGUAUUGUUGAUGCUAUAUCUGUUCGAUUACCAACCCUGUACUAUUGCACAAACGUGAAGCAUCCAAGUUUCUAUGAACACUAACUGAGACUCUUCAACAUUUAUUUGUGAUGUAUAGUACACCAGGUGGCUCCUGGAUGUUGAGAAAUUCAGUGGAAUAAUUCGUAGCUUAUUUUGAGAUCAAAAACUAUCUGUAGCAUGAAAUUAUUGGGUGAUUUAUCCAUCGAACAUAUUGACAGCUUUAUUGAUUGGAACAUCAUUCGUGACUGAGACAGCUGAGUCGAAUGUUGCAAAAGACUUUAUUUAUUGGUUAAAUAAAAAAAAAACCUUUA